ACACUCAGUUUUCCAGUAGGCAGUCAGACAAGUGCAUGUGAAACCUCGUGUACUGGCGGAACUAGCAUACGACCGACACGAUUCAGAAGCAAAAGAAGCUAGCUUUUUCUUC